AGAGUUUGAUCAUGGCUCAGGACGAACGCUGGCGGCGUGCUUAACACAUGCAAGUCGAACGGAAAGGCCCUUCGGGGUACUCGAGUGGCGAACGGGUGAGUAACACGUGGGUGAUCUGCCCUGCACUUUGGGAUAAGCCUGGGAAACUGGGUCUAAUACCGAAUAGGACCACGCGCUUCAUGGUGUGUGGUGGAAAGCUUUUGCGGUGUGGGAUGGGCCCGCGGCCUAUCAGCUUGUUGGUGGGGUAAUGGCCUACCAAGGCGACGACGUGUAGCCGGCCUGAGAGGGUGACCGGCCACACUGGGACUGAGAUACGGCCCAGACUCCUACGGGAGGCAGCAGUGGGGAAUAUUGCACAAUGGGCGCAAGCCUGAUGCAGCGACGCCGCGUGAGGGAUGACGGCCUUCGGGUUGUAAACCUCUUUCACCAGGGACGAAGCGCAAGUGACGGUACCUGGAGAAGAAGCACCGGCCAACUACGUGCCAGCAGCCGCGGUAAUACGUAGGGUGCGAGCGUUGUCCGGAAUUACUGGGCGUAAAGAGCUCGUAGGUGGUUUGUCGCGUUGUUCGUGAAAACUCACAGCUUAACUGUGGGCGUGCGGGCGAUACGGGCAGACUAGAGUACUGCAGGGGAGACUGGAAUUCCUGGUGUAGCGGUGGAAUGCGCAGAUAUCAGGAGGAACUCUGGUGGCGAAGGCGGGUCUCUGGGCAGUAACUGACGCUGAGGAGCGAAAGCGUGGGGAGCGAACAGGAUUAGAUACCCUGGUAGUCC
rnacentral:rRNA from 1 species